GUGUUAAGUGCUUGUAGUUGUAUGAGAUGCAAGAUAUAUGUACUGUAUACAGUGGAGAUUUGAUGUAAUUGAUAUGAAUUUCAAUUGGUUGACAUUUGAUUAUGUUAUCAAUUAUCUGCAAAGAAUUGGAAUGAGGACCUUUGUGCCUGCUAUAUAUGAUAACACUACCCAUUACUAAAUUAUUAGAUCUGUUGGCGAGUCUUGGCUGUACUAAUUUGUGGAUGGAAGUCAGUGUCAGAGUACUCUUUAUCGAUUGUGCCACUGUGGCCUUUAUCUCUGUUUUGCGUUUGUUAGUUUGAUCCAAUAUCAUAGAAGUGGAAUGAGCUGAGUUUAAAUUGGUUGAUGUUAUUGAAAUCUUUGAUGGAGUAUAGCGUUUCUCCGAGGAGAGAAUGGGCAAUUUUAUGAACUACAAAUUUAUAGUCCUCAUUGUUACUACAGUUAGCACUUUGUGAAGUGCAGCUAAGAAACAACUUUCUUUGAAAUAUGCUUAUUCAUAUUAGCUUGAAUCAAAGGAUCCUCAUUUUUUCACACAUGCCUUUUGCAGGUGUGGGUAAGAGCUAUUGAAAAUUGCAGAUCUGGGAUACUGCUGGUCAGGAGCGAUUCAGAACAAUCACAACAGGUAGAUAUCUUUUUGUUAUGUAAUUUUGAUAUUCAUAUAUAUAACUGAGGAAUUGGAUAAUGGAUAAUGGAUAUUGGAAUUGGAUAUUAUAAGUUUAUUAGAUAGAAGACAGGUAAAUGCUGUUAAUGACUUGGUUGAAAAUUUUUGGAGUAUGUUUGCCUGAUUUAUAAAAGGUAAAUGUUGUUUACAUUUGAUUAUACGUGACUUGUACGCCAUAGUAUAUGUCCAUAGAGGUGUAUAACUGCAACUAAGCUAGUCAGAAAGGCUAUAAGUUGGAAGAAGGUUUGAAAUAUUUGAAACAAAAGUCGUGGGAGGAAUAAUAUGUUAAAGGACUAUAAAAGAUUAAUGAAAGUGGUUUUAAUCAGAAACAAAACAAAUGAGAAUGUUUAGAGCUGAGUUGAGAAUAUAUGAAGUUUGCAGUGCAAGUACAUGGUUGAUUUGCCUCUGCUAAAGAAACUGUUAACACGGCAGUAAGUUUAAAAAUAGUUUAUAAGUUGUCGGGAAUGUUGUAUGAAUGAUAUACAUGUGGACUUAUAGUUUAUGAGAAUUAGUUAGUGAGAUGAAUGAUUUCACACAAAGGCCCAGAAAGUGCCAAUCCACCAAGGCUUAUAUCCCUUAAUACGUUUAGAAUAUACCUGUAGUCUGGUGCGUAGAUGUUACAUGUCAAUAUGUCAUGCGUUUAAUCUAACUAGAUUUCUAGAAUUUUGAUACAGUAACUCAAAGUGUUAGAUGGUUGUGAAGUCUACUUUUUGGUGAUUAUAAGGAAGCUUUUGCUAACUUCUUUAUAUUAAUCUUGUUGGGUUUAUCUUAGUUAUUGUAGUGUUUUUAUUGGUUUUUAGAUGGGGGUAAAAAAUGGAGAGAAUGAUGAUAACAUGGAUUGGACGGAUAACAAUGAGAAUGCUUUUUUGAGCAUGUUACACGAGAAAGUUAAGCGAGACCCAAAAGGCGCACCAACUUUUAAGACAUCUGAUUGGAAUGCUAUGGACAAUGAGUUGUAUCUGUCAAUUGGAGAGAGAUAUGGGGCGGAAAGAUUGAAGGGAAAGUAUAAUUGUCUUCGUAGCAAGCAUCGUUAUUUUUCUGAUUUGUUGGAGCAUACAGGUGUUACUUAUGAUUUGGGUUCAAAUACUGUUUUGCUCCAGAAGAUGUUUGGCAGAUGUUUUUUAAGGUAGUAAAUAUAAAACUUUUUGAUAUUAUUAUGUUUUAUAUUAGUAUGUGGAUUACACACUUAUGAUUAUUAUUUAUAUGUAAAAUCGUAGAAAAACAAGAUCUUCAAGUCAUUUCGAAAGAGUGGUUGCAAGAAUUACCAACUUCUUGGCCAAGUGUUUGAUUAGUCGACUGCGAGUGGACUUCUUCACCAUUCUUCCACCAUGUUACCCCCCAGCUCUGAUGAAGAACGCCAAACCGAAGAAAACUUCUUGAAUAAAGGCAUCCAUGUAACUGAAUCAGGUACUUCAAGCUCGAAGGGUAAGCGGCCAGCUGAAGAUUUCUUGCCAGGUUGUAUUCGGGUGAAGAAGGAGUCAAAAUUGGAGAAGUUGGAUUCAUGCUUGCAAAUCUGGGCAUCUACCUUGGAGGCUAGAGCUAAAAAAGAUCUUGCAAAGGCAGCCAUAUACAAUGACCAAUCAUCUAACAAAGCCACUAGUCCUGUAUCUGAUCCUUAUACUAUUGAGGAAUGUAUGGAUGUCUUGGAAAGUAUGGCGAAUGUUCCUGGUGAUUCAUACACCAAAGCUUUGGAGAAGUUCAAAGACCCAGAUUGGAGGAAGAUGUUUAUCAAGAUGUCUAGCUAGUCCUAGGAGAAAGAUGUGGGUAGAACGUUUGUAGUAAUUAUGAGUGUGGUGUGCUAUAGAGAAAUUUCUAGUGACUAUGAGUGUAGUGAGGUGAUCAGAUUAUAGUUGGGAUUAUUAUUAUUAUUGUGUUUUGUUUUAUAAUUGUUGAUGAUAUUUGGAUGUUAGUGUUUUAUUGCUGUUGAUACAAUGGAUGAAUCGAAUGAUUUGUUAUUGAAUUGAAUGAUUGAUAUAUUGAUGAAUGAGUUCAGGUCACUGGUUUAUAGGUUUUUUAAUGGAUGAAUAUGUUGCAGAUUUUUCAUAUUGUGAUAAACAUUGUAGUUGGAUUUUGAUUCUACUUAGUUCUAAUUCUUCUUCUGUUGUAUCUGAAUGUGGAAUUUCAUUCUUUAAAUGACGACACUAUUAGACAGGAAUGUGAUAUCUCGCUGUGUAAUAUGUUUAAUAUGUUACUAAAGUUGUGGAUGCUUGGGUUUGAAUUAAAUUCCUUGUUAAAUACUAGCCCCUCUCUGAGUCAUUUCUAGUUUUGCAGGUUGGACUUUUUAUUACAUUUGCUAAAUAAUUACAAUGCCCUCUUGGUAUGUUUCAGGUUGCUAAGUAGGAACUGCUUGCUUUUCUGAGACCUUUGGUUAGCAGCUAGCAUUGAAGGAAAGGUCACAUUGCAAGAGAAGCACCACUAAUACUAGGUAUACUUAUCUAUGCUUCUUAUACUAAUAAUAAGAAGUAGAUUUGUUUUUGUAUCUGAUUGUAUAUAUAUUAAUGUUUCAGCCAAGUUAAGCAUGCUUGUAUUCAAAUGAAACUUGUGUAUUGCUUUAUGACAUUCCAGUUUGUAGAAUUGGAUAUUGAAAAAUAGAACUUUAAAGACCUGGUUACAACAUUAUCAAAAACAAAAUUAUGUCUCUGACAUAUUGACAAGUGCUAAUCAACAAACCUUUAGUAGAAUACAUAAUUUAAUCUUGUCUUGGAAAUUCAUUGAGUUCUUGAGUUUUGUAAUGGUGGCAUGAUCAUCUGGUUUUCUUCAAGAAAAAACUUAUCUGACAACUGAGUGGUAGAUGAACUUAUCUUCAUUCAUUAAUGCAGUAAAAUGACACACGCUAUAGCGAGCAGUUCCUUGCAAGGUUUAUCAAGUUCAAGCUCAAGUGAUGAUGAUUUCGAUGAGGACAUGAUAGAUUUAUUAAUGAUUAGACAUGUAUUAGAAUAUGAGAGCCUCUUUGUGGAUAAGACUCCUUGUAGGACAUCAAUUCUUAGGGGCAAGGAAUAUAUUCUGGAAGUAUUAGAAGGAAAUCCUACAAGAUGUUUUGAAAGUUUUCGUAUGAAGCCACACGUAUUUAGAAAUUUAUGUGAUAGGUUGAAAAUGAUGAAAGUACUACAAGAUCAAAAAGAUGUCAGUGUGGAAGAAGGUCUGGCUAUGGGGUUAGCAAUAUUGGGCCAUGGUCACAAGCAAAGAAUUGUGGCUGAGCGAUUUCAACAUUCAACUGCUACGGUGCACAAAUGGUUUAAAUGGACAAUCAGAGCAUUAGCAGCUUUAGGUACUAAUUUGAUUAGGCCAGUGAAUAGAGGACAAGUGCAACCUGAAAUUCAGAGUAAUAUCCAUAUUUCAAGGUAUGCUAGUAAAUAUGAUUUUAUAAUUAUGCAUUUGUUAGUAAAUUAUUAUUAUUUUCUUUAAUAAAAAUAAAAAUAAUUUAUAUCAAUAACUUGUAUAUCUUGUUGUAGAACUGUAUCGGGGCUCUAGAUGGUACUCACGUAGCGGCUUGGUCUCCGGCAUCCAAGCAUACAACCUUUCGGGGUAAAAAAUCAGCUCUUAUCACACAAAAUGUCAUGGCUGCUUGUUCUCAAGAUAUGAUGUUCACUUUUGUGUACACUGGAUGGGAA
rnacentral:lncRNA from 1 species